UACGUAGGGCGCAAGCGUUGUCCGGAAUUAUUGGGCGUAAAGAGCUCGUAGGCGGUCUGUCGCGUCGGAUGUGAAAGCCCGGGGCUUAACCCCGGGUCUGCAUUCGAUACGGGCAGACUAGAGUGUGGUAGGGGAGAUCGGAAUUCCUGGUGUAGCGGUGAAAUGCGCAGAUAUCAGGAGGAACACCGGUGGCGAAGGCGGAUCUCUGGGCCAUUACUGACGCUGAGGAACGAAAGCGUGGGGAGCGAACAGG
rnacentral:rRNA from 1 species